GACGAACGCUGGCGGCGUGCCUAAUACAUGCAAGUAGAACGCUGAAGAGAGGAGCUUGCUCUUCUUGGAUGAGUUGCGAACGGGUGAGUAACGCGUAGGUAACCUGCCUUGUAGCGGGGGAUAACUAUUGGAAACGAUAGCUAAUACCGCAUAACAAUGGAUGACACAUGUCAUUUAUUUGAAAGGGGCAAUUGCUCCACUACAAGAUGGACCUGCGUUGUAUUAGCUAGUAGGUGAGGUAACGGCUCACCUAGGCGACGAUACAUAGCCGACCUGAGAGGGUGAUCGGCCACACUGGGACUGAGACACGGCCCAGACUCCUACGGGAGGUAGCAGUAGGGAAUCUUCGGCAAUGGGGGCAACCCUGACCGAGCAACGCCGCGUGAGUGAAGAAGGUUUUCGGAUCGUAAAGCUCUGUUGUAAGUCAAGAACGAGUGUGAGAGUGGAAAGUUCACACUGUGACGGUAGCUUACCAGAAAGGGACGGCUAACUACGUG
rnacentral:rRNA from 1 species